GCGGGCGUGGCGGAAUUGGUAGACGCAAAGGACUUAAAAUCCUUCGGCUCGAAGGAGCCGUGCCGGUUCGACCCCGGCCGCCCGCACCA
rnacentral:tRNA from 1 species